rnacentral:lncRNA from 1 species
GAGUCAGCUAGGCCCCUUCCUCCUCCAGUGCCUGUCUACCUAUGUUUGAUGCUUGGGGCUAGAAAGACUGACCUUGUAGCCCCUCACCUUCUCUCCCCAAUGCACUGGGCUGGUUCAGCAGCUGACCAAUGAGGGUCAUGCUUGCAUACUGGCCUUGGGUGAGUGGCUCAGGAACAGUUUGCAAGACCGUGUUGAAGCUACUUGUAACUAGACCAUUUUCCCAGCUUGACCAUGAGCUUCUUCAAGGCAUCUCUUCUCAGUCUCCACUGUAGCUCUGUGGGGAUGCUAACCCUGGCUUCCAAGGAUCUGAAGAGGAAGCUGCGGCUGUGACUGUCCCUUUUCGGUCUGUCUUCAUCCUGCCUGACUCACGGGUCUCCUGUCCUCCUGCAUAGCUUGCGGUGGUGAGGUGAUGGCAGCCAUGGACACAGGCCAGAGAGCUGACCCAAGCAAUCCUGGUGACAAGGAAGGGGACCUUCAAGGGCUGUGGCAGGAACUCUACCAGCUCCAGGCUAAGCAGAAGAAGCUCAAGAGAGAAGUCGAGAAGCACAAGCUUUUUGAAGACUAUCUGAUUAAGGUCCUUGAGAAAAUCCCCGAGGGCUGCACGGGAUGGGAGGAGCCGGAGGAGGUGCUGGUGGAGGCCACGGUGAAGCACUACGGGAAGCUCUUCACAGCCAGCCAGGACACGCAGAAGCGCCUCGAGGCCUUCUGCCAGAUGAUCCAGGCUGUCCACCGGAGCCUGGAGUCUCUGGAGGAGGACCACAGGGCUCUCAUGUUGUUAUCGCAUAAUAAAUAGGACUUCCGCUGGGAGGGAUGGGCACUCCAGGUGGAAGAGCCUGCCCUGACAAAGGCGUGGCAUCAUGAAGAUUCAUGCUGCCACUGGGACCGGGGACUUCGGGAUCCCAGAGGAAGGAUGACCAGCCGAGCCUCAAGAUCCGGCUGUGUCAGCUGCAGAAGAAGUGCUACCGCAAGCAGGAGCAGUGGUGGCAGCUGAAGCACAGCAUCACUUACCAGAAGGACAUUGACUUUGACACACACACCAGCAGCAGCUAUAAUGAUCAGCUGCUCGGCUACAUGCAAAUGACCAUCACCAACAUGGCCCGGCAGUGCUGCCCCUCUGCCCACGGCGUGCCCAAGAGCAUGGAUCUCUUCUCCAAGCUCGAUCUGAUUAAGGGCGCUUGUGAGAGUUAAAGGAGAAGUAGGUCAGCCUUUGAUGAUGCUUUGGUACCUAGAAAGCAGCGUCCAGAGGCCAAAACACUGUCAGUGCAGAGGAUUAAGCUGGUGGCUCUCAGGUUUGAACACGCAUCAGGAGGCCCUGUAUCAAUGCAGAGUGUGGACCCACCUCCAGAGCUUCCAGGCCCUAGAAUCUGCAUUUCUAACAAGUCCCCAGAUGUGGCAGAUGCUGCUGGUCCUGGGGUUACAUUUUGAAAACCACUGCUUUAGAGUAAUGGCAAAUCCUACAUGCUGAAGCCAGGCACUGCUCCACUAGCACCACCUUCUACGCCCAGGGUGAAGUUCUGUGGCUUGUUGACUGUGCCUUCGAGGGCUCUAUGUCAUUCUGUCCCCUAUCACCUGCCUGCUGUGCACCUGUCGUGCUUGAUCUAGCUCAGACAUUUUGUCACACUCCUUGGGGAGGAGCGGGAUUGGAACAGUUGCUUGGCGUGGCAAUGGCCUGGCCACCAGUCGACAUUUGCAGCCAGCAUCUGGGUACCUUGGGAGCUCCCAGCCUCCCCUGGGCAGGGCUGGGGCCGUGAAUUGGACACGGCAUUGCGCUUAACAGCGCGGCUACCUCAGGCUGCUGGUUCUAUAUUAGCUGGAGAAAAACCUUCAAGGGCAUUUGGAGAAAAAAUAAAAAGCACUAGUUCAGGUACCUUA